rnacentral:rRNA from 1 species
UACCACAUCUAAGGAAGGCAGCAGGCGCGCAAAUUACCCAAUCCUAAUACAGGGAGGUAGUGACAAGAAAUAACAAUACAGGACUUUUUGGUUUUGUAAUUGGAAUGAGUUAAGUAUAAACCCCUUUACAAGUAUCAAUUGGAGGGCAAGUCUGGUGCCAGCAGCCGCGGUAAUUCCAGCUCCAAUAGCGUAUAUUAAAGUUGUUGCAGUUAAAAAGCUCGUAGUUGGAUUUCUGUUAAUAAUUUAUAUAAAAUAUUUUGAAUAUUUAUAUAACAUUAACAUAAUUCAUAUUACUAUAUUUUUUAGUAUAUGAAAUUUUACUUUGAGAAAAUUAGAGUGCUUAAAGCAGGCAUAUGCCUUGAAUACUCCAGCAUGGAAUAAUAUUAAAGAUUUUUAUCUUUCUUAUUGGUUCUAAGAUAAGAAUAAUGAUUAAUAGGGACAGUUGGGGGCAUUUGUAUUUAACAGUCAGAGGUGAAAUUCUUAGAUUUGUUAAAGACAAACUAAUGCGAAAGCAUUUGCCAAGGAUGUUUUCAUUAAUCAAGAACGAAAGUUAGGGGAUCGAAGACGAUCAGAUACCGUCGUAGUCUUAACCAUAAACUAUGCCAACUAG